rnacentral:rRNA from 1 species
UGCCUUACACAUGCAAGUCGAACGGUAACAGGUCUUCGGAUGCUGACGAGUGGCGAACGGGUGAGUAAUACAUCCGAACGUGCCCCAUAGUGGGGGAUAACGAAUCGAAAGCUUUGCUAAUACCGCAUACGAUCUCAGGAUGAAAGCAGGGGACCGCAAGGCCUUGCGCUCACGGAGCGGCCGAUGGCAGAUUACGUAGUUGGUGGGAUAAAAGCUUACCAAGCCGACGAUCUGUACCUGGUCUGAGAGGACGACCAGCCACACUGGGACUGAGACACGGCCCAGACUCCUACGGGAGGCAACAGUGGGGAAUUUUGGACAAUGGGAGCGAGCCUGAUCCAGCCAUGCCGCGUGCGAGAUGAAGGCCUUCGGGUUGUAAACUGCUUUUGUACGGAACGAAAAGACUCCUUCUAAUAAAGGGGGUCCAUGACGGUACCGUAAGAAUAAGCACCGGCUAACUACGUGCCAGCAGCCGCGGUAAUACGUAGGGUGCGAGCGUUAAUCGGAAUUACUGGGCGUAAAGCGUGCGCAGGCGGUGAUGUAAGACAGAUGUGAAAUCCCCGGGCUCAACCUGGGAACUGCAUUUGUGACUGCAUCGCUGGAGUGCGGCAGAGGGGGAUGGAAUUCCGCGUGUAGCAGUGAAAUGCGUAGAUAUGCGGAGGAACACCGAUGGAGAAGGCAAUCCCCUGGGCCAGCACUGACGCUCAUGCAAGAAAGCGUGGGGAGCAAACAGGAUUAGAUACCCUGGUAGUCCACGCCCUAAACGAUGUCAACUGGUUGUUGGGUUUUCACUGACUCAGUAACGAAUAUAACGCAUGAAGUUCACCGCCUGGGGAGU